rnacentral:rRNA from 1 species
CUUCGGGGUGUGACUGCGUACCUUUUGUAUAAUGGGUCAGCGACUUAUAUUCUGUAGCAAGGUUAACCGUAUAGGGGAGCCGGAGGGAAACCGAGUCUUAAUUGGGCGUUAAGUUGCAGGGUAUAGACCCGAAACCCGGUGAUCUAGCCAUGGGCAGGUUGAAGGUUGGGUAACACUAACUGGAGGACCGAACCGACUAAUGUUGAAAAAUUAGCGGAUGACCUGUGGCUGGGGGUGAAAGGCCAAUCAAACCGGGAGAUAGCUGGUUCUCCCCGAAAGCUAUUUAGGUAGCGCCUCGUGAAUUCAUCUCCGGGGGUAGAGCACUGUUUCGGCUAGGGGGCCAUCCCGGCUUACCAACCCGAUGCAAACUGCGAAUACCGGAGAAUGUUAUCACGGGAGACACACGGCGGGUGCUAACGUCCGUCGUGAAGAGGGAAACAACCCAGACCGCCAGCUAAGGUCCCAAAGUCAUGGUUAAGUGGGAAACGAUGUGGGAAGGCCCAGACAGCCAGGAUGUUGGCUUAGAAGCAGCCAUCAUUUAAAGAAAGCGUAAUAGCUCACUGGUCGAGUCGGCCUGCGCGGAAGAUGUAACGGGGCUAAACCAUGCACCGAAGCUGCGGCAGCGAACGUAUCACCCAAGACAACUUUACGGAGUUGACGAUUGACGGAGCGAAGCGACGUCAAAGCGUUCAUUAAAGUCGAGUUGGCUUAGGGAUACGUUCGUUGGGUAGGGGAGCGUUCUGUAAGCCUGUGAAGGUGUGUCGUGAGGCAUGCUGGAGGUAUCAGAAGUGCGAAUGCUGACAUAAGUAACGAUAAAGCGGGUGAAAAGCCCGCUCGCCGGAAGACCAAGGGUUCCUGUCCAACGUUAAUCGGGGCAGGGUGAGUCGACCCCUAAGGCGAGGCCGAAAGGCGUAGUCGAUGGGAAACGGGUUAAUAUUCCCGUACUUGGUGUUACUGCGAAGGGGGGACGGAGAAGGCUAUGUUGGCCGGGCGACGGUUGUCCCGGUUUAAGCGUGUAGGUGUGUGUUCCAGGUAAAUCCGGUUCACUUUAACACUGAGGCGUGACGACGAGGCACUACGGUGCUGAAGCAACAAAUGCCCUGCUUCCAGGAAAAGCCUCUAAGCAUCAGGUAACACGAAAUCGUACCCCAAACCGACACAGGUGGUCAGGUAGAGAAUACCAAGGCGCUUGAGAGAACUCGGGUGAAGGAACUAGGCAAAAUGGUGCCGUAACUUCGGGAGAAGGCACGCUGACACGUAGGUGAAGUGAUUUACUCAUGGAGCUGAAGUCAGUCGAAGAUACCAGCUGGCUGCAACUGUUUAUUAAAAACACAGCACUGUGCAAACACGAAAGUGGACGUAUACGGUGUGACGCCUGCCCGGUGCCGGAAGGUUAAUUGAUGGGGUCAGCGCAAGCGAAGCUCCUGAUCGAAGCCCCGGUAAACGGCGGCCGUAACUAUAACGGUCCUAAGGUAGCGAAAUUCCUUGUCGGGUAAGUUCCGACCUGCACGAAUGGCGUAAUGAUGGCCAGGCUGUCUCCACCCGAGACUCAGUGAAAUUGAACUCGCUGUGAAGAUGCAGUGUACCCGCGGCAAGACGGAAAGACCCCGUGAACCUUUACUAUAGCUUGACACUGAACAUUGAGCCUUGAUGUGUAGGAUAGGUGGGAGGCUUUGAAGUGUGGACGCCAGUCUGCAUGGAGCCGACCUUGAAAUACCACCCUUUAAUGUUUGAUGUUCUAACGUGGACCCGUAAUCCGGGUUGCGGACAGUGUCUGGUGGGUAGUUUGACUGGGGCGGUCUCCUCCUAAAGAGUAACGGAGGAGCACGAAGGUUGGCUAAUCCUGGUCGGACAUCAGGAGGUUAGUGCAAUGGCAUAAGCCAGCUUGACUGCGAGCGUGACGGCGCGAGCAGGUGCGAAAGCAGGUCAUAGUGAUCCGGUGGUUCUGAAUGGAAGGGCCAUCGCUCAACGGAUAAAAGGUACUCCGGGGAUAACAGGCUGAUACCGCCCAAGAGUUCAUAUCGACGGCGGUGUUUGGCACCUCGAUGUCGGCUCAUCACAUCCUGGGGCUGAAGUAGGUCCCAAGGGUAUGGCUGUUCGCCAUUUAAAGUGGUACGCGAGCUGGGUUUAGAACGUCGUGAGACAGUUCGGUCCCUAUCUGCCGUGGGCGCUGGAGAACUGAGGGGGGCUGCUCCUAGUACGAGAGGACCGGAGUGGACGCAUCACUGGUGUUCGGGUUGUCAUGCCAAUGGCACUGCCCGGUAGCUAAAUGCGGAAGAGAUAAGUGCUGAAAGCAUCUAAGCACGAAACUUGCCCCGAGAUGAGUUCUCCCUGAGACUUAG